rnacentral:rRNA from 1 species
UGCGCAGGCGGAAAAGUAAGUCAGUGGUGAAAUCUCUCGGCUCAACCGAGAAACUACCAUUGAUACUGCUUAUCUAGAGUUUAGUUGAAGUGGGCGGAAUGUAGCAUGUAGCGGUGAAAUGCAUAGAGAUGCUACAGAACACCGAUUGCGAAGGCAGCUCACUAAGCUAAAACUGACGCUCAGGCACGAAAGCGUGGGGAUCAAACAGGAUUAGAUACCCUGGUAGUCC